UACGUAGGGGGCGAGCGUUGUCCGGAAUUACUGGGCGUAAAGGGUGCGUAGGCGGCUGAUUAAGUCAGAUGUGAAAUACCAGGGCUCAACCCUGGGGGUGCAUUUGAAACUGGCCAGCUUGAGUGCAGGAGAGGGAAGUGGAAUUCCUAGUGUAGCGGUGAAAUGCGUAGAGAUUAGGAGGAACACCAGUGGCGAAGGCGACUUCCUGGACUGUAACUGACGCUGAGGCACGAAAGCGUGGGGAGCAAACAGG
rnacentral:rRNA from 1 species